CCUACGGGGGGCAGCAGUGGGGAAUAUUGGACAAUGGGGGGAACCCUGAUCCAGCCAUGCCGCGUGUGUGAAGAAGGCCCUCGGGUUGUAAAGCACUUUCAGUGAGGAAGAACGCCUGGUGGUUAAUACCCAUCAGGAAAGACAUCACUCACAGAAGAAGCACCGGCUAACUCCGUGCCAGCAGCCGCGGUAAUACGGAGGGUGCGAGCGUUAAUCGGAAUUACUGGGCGUAAAGCGCGCGUAGGUGGCUUGAUAAGCCGGUUGUGAAAGCCCCGGGCUCAACCUGGGAACGGCAUCCGGAACUGUCAAGCUAGAGUGCAGGAGAGGAAGGUAGAAUUCCCGGUGUAGCGGUGAAAUGCGUAGAGAUCGGGAGGAAUACCAGGGGCGAAGGCGGCCUUCUGGACUGACACUGACACUGAGGUGCGAAAGCGUGGGUAGCAAACAGGAUUAGAUACCCGGGUAGUC
rnacentral:rRNA from 1 species